rnacentral:RNase_P_RNA from 1 species
CCUUUUUUACAAAAAGGUUCUCUCGAUAAGAUAACCACGGCGGAGGAAAGUCCGGACACUAUAGGGCAGGGAGGUCGCUAACGGCGACCGGGGGCGACCCCAGGGAUAAGGGCAACAGAAAGUAAACCGCCCCGCAAGGGGUAAGGGUGAAACGGCGGGGUAAGAGCCCGCCAGCGCGCCGGGCGACCGGCGCGGCUAUGCAACCCCCUCCCGGUGCAAGGCCAAAUAGGUCCCACUUACGGCGCUGCUCGCGUCUUCUCCGAUGCCUCUUGUAGUAUUGAGGAAACCUUUUUGUAAAAAGGUUUCCUCAAACUCCAUCCAAAAACUUUCACCUUGUUUUGCGUGCCCCCAUAUGGGGGCACGCAAAACAACAAGGCAAAAGUCUUCGGAAGGGGGUCCGGGGGGAAACCCUUCUACAGAAGGGUUUCCCCCGGUACCACAAGAGGCAUCGGAAGGUGGGACGGGUUGGCUGCUCGAGGUAAGCGGCAACGCUUAUCCCAGAUAAAUGGCCGUUACCCUGCAAGGGGGACAGAAUCCGGCUUACAGAGGCCUC